rnacentral:rRNA from 1 species
AGCGAACGCUGGCGGCAGGCUUAACACAUGCAAGUCGAACGGGCUUCUUCGGAAGUCAGUGGCAGACGGGUGAGUAACACGUGGGAACGUGCCCUUCGGUUCGGAAUAACUCAGGGAAACUUGAGCUAAUACCGGAUACGCCCUUAUGGGGAAAGGUUUACUGCCGAAGGAUCGGCCCGCGUCUGAUUAGCUUGUUGGUGGGGUAACGGCCUACCAAGGCGACGAUCAGUAGCUGGUCUGAGAGGAUGAUCAGCCACACUGGGACUGAGACACGGCCCAGACUCCUACGGGAGGCAGCAGUGGGGAAUAGUGGACAAUGGGCGCAAGCCUGAUCCAGCCAUGCCGCGUGAGUGAUGAAGGCCUUAGGGUUGUAAAGCUCUUUUGUCCGGGACGAUAAUGACGGUACCGGAAGAAUAAGCCCCGGCUAACUUCGUG